GCGAGGACGAUCGUUGGUUUUGAUCAGAAAUGAAAAUAAUCUCAUUUCCUCUAAGAAGUUCUGAGCUC